GCCGAUACGGCGAGCUAAAAGCUACAGUUGGGAUUCGACCGACUAGAGCUACAGUGUUUCGGCUGAUUGGCAAAAGGAGUCAGCAAGGAUUGGCCGAUUGGGAGCUGGGGCAGCUUGGCCAGUAUGGGCCUAGAGUGGGCCAGAGAAAAGAGUAGCUAAAAACGAAAGUUGGCCCGUGAGAUAUGAUAACCAACUCCGAUACGAGUUGUGUUUGUAAAUCUUUAUUGUUAUUCAAAAUUAGAGAUAGAUCCUAGUCGGUUAGGAAAUCAGUUGUAACAGGCUAUAAAUAGCCACCUCUUGAGGAUUUGUAAGACACACAUCAAUCAAUACAACAAAUCUACUUAUUCCUCGCACUUUACUUUCAAGUCGGCGACUUCGCCAAAAACCUUUUCUUUUCACGAGUUCGUACGGGUUGGCAGGACUGCAUUGACACGAUCUCCGGCCGAUUUGUAAGUUUCGUUUAUUGAGUAAUAUCUAAGCUUUAACUUCGGGCACAUCGUUGUCGUUUUGUUUAGAUUUAUUCACCAGUUAUCGAUAUUUACUAGAAUUAUAGGUUUUAUCUAUUGUUCUAGUUUUAUCACCAGUUAUCCAGCUUGAGAUUCGAACUGUCGGCCUCAUCACUGUUAUUCUUAUUUAUCGCCAUAUAGCCGAUUAGAUCUGUUUCAAGUGUUGCAUUUGUAGCGUUAUUUAAUUUAUUCUAGUAAUUUCU
rnacentral:lncRNA from 1 species